CCAGUAGUGUAUGCUUCUCCUAAAGACUAAGCCAUGCAUGCCUUCGAAUACGAGGAAGCAAUUCUCUCUGAAUCUGCGAACGGCUCCGCAAACCAGUUGUAAACCAAAGCAAGCAUACUCGUGGUCUGCCCUUCACGGGGUGGGCUGCGGGUGAUACGGAUAACCCUGGUAAUUCUGAGGCUAAUACGAGACUGUAAUCCCUGGCUAACCGGGCAACUGGUAGGCUGGGGGGCGUGUGAUCUAUUUGCAAGACGAUUCCAGGAAGGGGUGCACGCUCUGACCGCGAUAAAGACAGUUCUGGUGGACCCUCGGGCGAGCCAGUUCUGAGCGGCUCUUGCGAUGUGCUUCUGACCUAUCAACUAGAUGGCAGCGUAACGGACAUGCCAUGGUUACAACGGGUACAGAGGAUUAGGGUUCGAUCCUGGAGAGUGGGCCUGAGAGAUUGCUCAUACUUCUAAGGAAGGCAGCAGGCGCGCAACGUUCCCCUUGGGCAAUGCCCGAGGGCGUUAGGGGACAUAUGAAUGGUUGCCUUUUAGGUGGCCAAUUCAAAUGG
rnacentral:rRNA from 1 species